CAAGUCGAGCGAACCCUUCGGGGUGAGCGGCGGACGGGAUGAGUAACGCGCUGGGUUAACCUACCCUAUACACACGGAUAACGUACCGAAAGGUACGCUAAUACGAGAUAAUAUUGUUGGAUGGCAUCAUCUAAUAAUCAAAGCUCCGGCGGUAUAGGAUGGACCCGCGUCUGAUUAGCUAGUUGGUGAGGUAAUGGCUCACCAAGGCGACGAUCAGUAGCCGACCUGAGAGGGUGAUCGGCCACACUGGAACUGAGACACGGUCCAACUCCUACGGGAGGCAGCAGUGGGGAAUAUUGCACAAUGGGCGAAAGCCUGAUGCAGCAACGCCGCGUGAGUGAUGAAGGUCUUCGGAUCGUAAAGCUCUGUCCUCAAGGAAGAUAAUGACGGUACUUGAGGAGGAAGCCCCGGCUAACUACGUGCCAGCAGCCGCGGUAAUACGUAGGGGGCUAGCGUUAUCCGGAAUUACUGGGCGUAAAGGGUGCGUAGGCGGUCUUUCAAGCCAGAAGUGAAAGGCUACGGCUCAACCGUAGUAAGCUUUUGGAACUGUAAGACUUGAGUGCAGGAGAGGAGAGUGGAAUUCCUAGUGUAGCGGUGAAAUGCGUAGAUAUUAGGAGGAACACCAGUUGCGAAGGCGGCUCUCUGGACUGUAACUGACGCUGAGGCACGAAAGCGUGGGGAGCAAACAGGAUUAGAUACCCUGGUAGUCCACGCCGUAAACGAUGAGUACUAGGUGUCGGGGGUUACCCCCCUCGGUGCCGCAGCUAACGCAUUAAGUACUCCGCCUGGGAAGUACGCUCGCAAAGAGUGAAACUCAAAGGAAUUGACGGGGACCC
rnacentral:rRNA from 1 species